AGAGUGAACGCUGGCGGCAGGCCUAACACAUGCAAGUCGAACGGCAGCACAGGGGAGCUUGCUCCCUGGGUGGCGAGUGGCGGACGGGUGAGGAAAACGUCGGAAUCUGCCUAUUUGUGGGGGAUAACGUAGGGAAACUUACGCUAAUACCGCAUACGACCUACGGGUGAAAGCGGAGGACCUUCGGGCUUCGCGCAGAUAGAUGAGCCGACGUCGGAUUAGCUAGUUGGCGGGUAAAGCCACCAAGGCGACGAUCCGUAGCUGGUCUGAGAGGAUGAUCAGCCACACUGGAACUGAGACACGGUCCAGACUCCUACGGGAGCAGCAGUGGGGAAUAGUUGGACAAUGGGCGCAAGCCUGAUCCAGCCAUCGCCGCGUAGUGUAGAAGAAGGCCGUUGGGUGUAAAGCGUACUUUUGGACCGG
rnacentral:rRNA from 1 species